UAAGACGGAGGGGGCUAGCGUUGUUCGGAAUGACUGGGCGUAAAGGGCGCGUAGGCGGUUUUUUAAGUGAGGCGUGAAAGCCCUGGGCUUAACCCAGGAGGUGCGUUUCAUACUGGAAAGCUUGAGUACGAGAGAGGAAAGCGGAAUUCCUAGUGUAGAGGUGAAAUUCGUAGAUAUUAGGAAGAACACCAGUGGCGAAGGCGGCUUUCUGGCUCGUAACUGACGCUGAGGCGCGAAAGCGUGGGGAGCAAACAGG
rnacentral:rRNA from 1 species